UAGGGAAUCUUCCACAAUGGACGCAAGUCUGAUGGAGCAACGCCGCGUGAGUGAAGAAGGUUUUCGGAUCGUAAAGCUCUGUUGUUGGUGAAGAAGGAUAGAGGUAGUAACUGGCCUUUAUUUGACGGUAAUCAACCAGAAAGUCACGGCUAACUACGUGCCAGCAGCCGCGGUAAUACGUAGGUGGCAAGCGUUGUCCGGAUUUAUUGGGCGUAAAGCGAGCGCAGGCGGAAGAAUAAGUCUGAUGUGAAAGCCCUCGGCUUAACCGAGGAACUGCAUCGGAAACUGUUUUUCUUGAGUGCAGAAGAGGAGAGUGGAACUCCAUGUGUAGCAGUGGAAUGCGUAGAUAUAUGGAAGAACACCAGUGGCGAAGGCGACUCUCUGGUCUGCAACUGACGCUGAGGCUCGAAAGCAUGGGUAGCGAACAGG
rnacentral:rRNA from 1 species